rnacentral:rRNA from 1 species
UUUAUGGAGAGUUUGAUCCUGGCUCAGGAUGAACGCUGGCGGCGUGCCUAAUACAUGCAAGUCGAGCGAACGGACGAGAAGCUUGCUUCUCUGAUGUUAGCGGCGGACGGGUGAGUAACACGUGGAUAACCUACCUAUAAGACUGGGAUAACUUCGGGAAACCGGAGCUAAUACCGGAUAAUAUUUUGAACCGCAUGGUUCAAAAGUGAAAGACGGUCUUGCUG